AAACAACUCUCAGAACGGUAUCUUGAUAGUAUUGUGAAUUGCAGAAUUCCGCGAAUCAUCGAGUCUUUGAACGCAAGUUGCGCCCGAGGCUUGUCCGAGGGCAUUUCCGCUAGCAGCGUCACC
rnacentral:rRNA from 1 species